AUACGAAGGGUGCAAGCGUUAAUCGGAAUUACUGGGCGUAAAGCGCGCGUAGGCGGUUUGUUAAGUCAGAUGUGAAAGCCCCAGGCUCAACCUGGGAACUGCAUUUGAAACUGGCAGGCUAGAGUGUGGUAGAGGGAAGUGGAAUUUCAGGUGUAGCGGUGAAAUGCGUAGAUAUCUGAAGGAACAUCAGUGGCGAAUGCGACUUCCUGGACCAACACUGACGCUGAGGUGCGAAAGCGUGGGUAGCAAACAGGAUUAGAUACCCUAGUAGUCC
rnacentral:rRNA from 1 species